CCUGAAACCAGUGCUCCUUCUCCUCCGUAUCAGCACACCACGCACCGCCAUAAACGUCGUCCUCGUCAGCUGAACUCUGGAAAACAGACGUCCUCUCAGGGCUGAAUGACCAUGAUGAGACAUAGAAGAUGCCAGUAUCUGAUCGUCCUCCACUCGAUGAGACUCCAUGCCAAGAGGAGGACACUCUGACAGACGGGAAAUACGGAAAACCAUUUGUGCUGAACAAUGGCUGAAGCUGGAGCCAGCAGCAGUUCUGGCCAGUCUGAGUCGAAAACGCUGAAUCUUUGUGGUGGAAGAACAUGUCAGCUCUGACAUUUACUGCCUUCAGCUCAAGAGUUUGUUCACUGAACUCACUCAAUAUCAAUUCUGCGCUCACAAACAGCCACUUCUAUAAGAGGCUGUGUGUUUCUGCUCUGAUUAUACUGUGAUUUGUGGCUGUUUUCCAG